GUCCACGCUGUAACGGUGAGUGCUGGGUGUGGAGGUGUAAUGCCUUCUGUGCCGAAGCUAACGCGUUAAGCACUCCGCCUGGGAGUACGGUCGCAAGGUUGAACUCAAAGGAAUUGACGGGCCCGCACAAGCGGUGGAGCAUGUGGUUUAAUUCGACGCAACGCGAAACCUUACCUGGGCUUGACAUGGAGAGAACCCCGAUGAAAUCGGGGUGCCUCGUAAGGGAGCUCUCACACAGGUGCUGCAUGGCUGUCGU
rnacentral:rRNA from 1 species